UGGUACAUCACUAGUGUUGAUAUUGGUUCGUCAGAAUCCUUUUUACAUGGAGGGAAACUUCCCACUCUCAUUGUUCAAUCAGCAGGCCAUGCUGUGCACAUCUUUGUUAAUGGAGAGCUUUCAGGUUCUGCCUUUGGGACAAGGGAGAAUAAGAGGUUUACAUAUACUGGAAAGGUCAAUUUGCGUGCUGGAAAAAACAAAAUUGCAUUGCUGAGUGUUGCAGUUGGAUUGCAAAAUGUGGGUGGACACUUUGAGACAUGGAACACAGGAAUCCUAGGUCCAGUUGCACUGCAUGGACUUGACCAGGGAAAAUGGGAUUUGUCCUGGCAAAAAUGGACAUAUCAGGUUGGGCUGAAAGGGGAAGCCAUGAACCUAGUUUCUCCAAAUAGUGUUUCAUCUGUUGGGUGGAUGGAAGCAUC
rnacentral:misc_RNA from 1 species